rnacentral:rRNA from 1 species
GAUGAACGCUGGCGGCGUGCCUAAUACAUGCAAGUCGAGCGAACGGACGAGAAGCUUGCUUCUCUGAUGUUAGCGGCGGACGGGUGAGUAACACGUGGAUAACCUACCUAUAAGACUGGGAUAACUUCGGGAAACCGGAGCUAAUACCGGAUAAUAUUUUGAACCGCAUGGUUCAAAAGUGAAAGACGGUCCUGCUGUCACUUAUAGAUGGAUCCGCGCUGCAUUAGCUAGUUGGUAAGGUAACGGCUUACCAAGGCAACGAUGCAUAGCCGACCUGAGAGGGUGAUCGGCCACACUGGAACUGAGACACGGUCCAGACUCCUACGGGAGGCAGCAGUAGGGAAUCUUCCGCAAUGGGCGAAAGCCUGACGGAGCAACGCCGCGUGAGUGAUGAAGGUCUUCGGAUCGUAAAACUCUGUUAUUAGGGAAAAACAUAUGUGUAAGUAACUGUGCACAUCUUGACGGUACCUAAUCAGAAAGCCACGGCUAACUACGUG